UCUUCCGUAGUAUAGUGGUCAGUAUGUGAGCUUGUCAUUAGCCGACAUCGCUCGAGACCCGGGUUCAAUUCCCGGCGGGAGAG
rnacentral:tRNA from 1 species